rnacentral:tRNA from 1 species
GGUAGCUCAGUGGUAGAGCACUUGCUUCCCACAUGUGAGGCACUGGGUUCGAUUCUCAGAACCA